UAUUUAGGAGCUACAAUGGAAAUGGAAAUUCCUGUGCAUCAAACAUGGAUGUAUAGUAGGCUUCUCCCUGGCCGGAGCGGACAUACAUAUGAAUUUUUAAAAGGAGUUGAAGAGUUUAUAACCUUUGCUUGUCAACAAAAGGAGUAUUUGAAGGAUGGUGUAAUAAGAUAUCCAUGUAAAAAGUGCAAAAACAAGGACCACCUCAGCCCGGAUGAAGCAAACAGUCAUAUUCAUCAACAUGGGUUUACACCGGAAUAUUGGAAUUGGACAUGCCAUGGAGAUAUAAUUCCUCACAUCAAUGAUAGUGACAAUGAUGAUAUAGAUAUGGUAGCACCUUGUAGUAGUAGUCAAUAGUGGAGUUAUGAACAUGUUCAUAGAUACCAAGACAUGGUGUUUGAUGCUGUUGGUUUUAAUCGCGAGCAACAUUUUGUACAACAUGAAGAGGAACCUUCAAACAUGGAAGCAAAUUUUUUUAUGACAUGUUGAAUUCAACUCAGCAACCAUUGUGGUCGGGAUGUAAAAACACAACAGAGUUAUCUGCUGCUAGUAAGAUGUUGAGUUUAAAAUCUAAACACAACAUGUCACUGGCAUGUUUCGAUGAUAUGGUGAAGUUUAUGAAGGAAUCAAGCCACCCAAAGAAUGUAAUUCCCUCUAAAUUUAGGGAAACAAAAAAACUUGUGGAUGGACUUAGUUUAUCAAGGAUAAAGAUAGAUUGUUGCAUUGGUGGGUGUAUGUUGUAUUACAAAGAGGACAUAAAUUUAAAGGAAUGCAAAUUUUGCAAUGAGCCUCGAUACAAAACAUGUAUUAUGGGUAAGCGUAAGCGAAGGAUGUAUAUUUGAAGGAUGUAUAACAUGGUUUUUUUAAUACAAAAAAAGUUUACAUGGCCACCAGAACACAAAGUUACGGUGUGAUGUAACUUUGAAAGAAGAGGUGCCGCUAAGAUGUCUCGGCUACUACAAGAUGUUCGCAAAGACUUGGAGUACAGACCGGGUUGGAUGGGAGAUGAUGUGUGGCAGCAAUUAUCGGUACAUUGGAAUUCGUUAAAGUUCAAAAAAGCAUCUGAAACGAAUAAAAGAAACCGGUCUUCUAUGGAUGGCACAUCUCUUCACAAUGGAGGGUCUAUUCCUCAUUGUUUGCAUUGGAAAAGGAUGAGAAAGGAAAAGGGUGCAGAUCCAUCAUUGACCGAGUUCUAUUUUCGCACACAUCGGAAAAAAGGGUCAAAGUUGUGUACAAGUUCAUGUUGAAUCUGCAUAUGAUAAGUUUGAACCAAAAAAGUUGGAGAUUUCUUCUCAGAAUCCAACUAUUCUAAGAGAGGACGAAGCUGAUAGUCAACCAACUAUUGAAAUGCCACCUGAUUUGGAUAUAUGGGUAGAGUCGGUUGGAAAGAAGAAAGGGAGGGUAUUUGGUCUUGGAACCGCUUCUAAGACUUUGGUUUCAGUAUCAAAGAAAACCUCAAGUCUUUCAAGCGACUCUCAAGAGCUUGAUGUUUUGAGAAGUCAAGUCCAUGCUUUAAAUGCACCGUUGCAAAGACAAGAAGAAGAAAAGCUGGGGAUGGGGCAACAAUUGCAUCGACAAUAAAAGAGAUGGUCGAAUCGAAUAAUAAAAUUUCAUUUUUAAUGAAUC